UACGUAGGGGGCAAGCGUUGUCCGGAUUCAUUGGGCGUAAAGAGCGUGUAGGCGGCCAGGUAGGUCGGUUGUGAAAACUGGAGGCUCAACCUUCAGAGGUCGACCGAAACCAUCUGGCUAGAGUCCGGGGAGAGGUGAGUGGAACUGCGAGUGUAGAGGUGAAAUUCGUAGAUAUUCGCAAGAACACCAGUGGCGAAGGCGGCUCACUGGCCCGGUACUGACGCUGAGGUGCGAAAGCGUGGGGAGCAAACAGG
rnacentral:rRNA from 1 species